CUUUAACUCCAUAAUAACAGACUUCAGUUUGAUUAUGAUUUUAUAUUAUUUGUUUUGAUGUGCUUAAAUUUUUGCCAGUUGUUUUCUGAAUAUUUUCCUUAUAUUCCAGUUUUCUCAUUUGGAUAAUUUACACUUCCACCUGAGGAAUAGGUGUAUUAGUCCAUUCUUGCAUUGCUAUAAAGAACUACCUGAGACUGGGUAAUUUAUAAAGAAAAGAGGUUUAAUUGACUCACAGUUCUCCAGGCUGAACAGAAAGCAUGACUGAGGAAGCCUCAGUAAACUUACAAUUAUGGCAGAAGGUGAAGAGAAAGCAGACACCUCUUAACAUGCUGGAGAAGGAGGAAGAGAGAGAGAAGGGGGAAGUCCUACACUCUUUUAUAAACAACCAGAUCUCAUGAGAAUUCACUCACUAUUACAAGAACAGAAAGGUUCUUGGUUCAUGGUUCAAUCAGCUCCUACCAGGCUCCUCCUCCAACAUUGGGGAUUACAAUUCAACAUGAAAUUUCAGCAGAGACACUGACUCAAAUCAUAUCAGGGAUAGGAAAUACGACCUGUCUCACUUUGAUCCAUAUUGAAGGCUUCGGAUUUCCUUCAUUCUCCAAGUGAUGCAAAACCAAGGCUGUACAAGCAUGGUGAUGGCAUCUGUCCAGCAUCUGGGGAGCCUGCAGGGAGCUUUUACUCAGGACAGAAGGUGAAGCAGGAGCAGGUAUGUCACAUGGCAGAUUCUCACCUAAGUGCUGAAACGACCUCAUAGCACAAAGGGGAGACAGAAAUUUUAAAAGUGGAAUGAAGGGAGGAUAACUUCAAAUGACAGUUGCCACAGCUGAAGAGAUGCUUUCACUCAUGAAACAAAUAAGCAAGCAGGAUGCCAUCCAUGAAGAUGAUGCUUCUGACUCACUGUAAAAAUAAAAAAAUACGUAUACUAUGAGGUGUUUCCUCUUUAUUGACAUCUACCUGAUCAGCCCAUUUGUGACCAACAAAUGCAAUUAUGAGGUGAGACAGCUGAUGGAGAAAGAGGUGAGAUGCCAGUAAGACGGGAUAUGGAGAGACGCAACAUAAAAGUUUUAGGAGAAAAAGCCAGACCGAGCCCAGAGAGCAGAAAAUAUGCUCCAGCUCAACGUUGCUAAUUGUAAUCAGGAAAAAGUAAAUUAAUCUCACCGUGGCUCAGUGACAAAGGGGAUAAUAAAUGAAUGCUACUGCAAAAGGAUACCAUAAAUUAUGACAAUGCUUAUGAAAGUAUUUAAAAGUUACAAAGUAUUAUUCAAGUACUAGUUAAAUAUUGCUUAUAAUUAUCUCAUAUCAAAGGGAAGCCAAUGGACUGAUAAUUGAGCUUUUAAACUUUGCCUUGGGAAUCAGAGAGAAUACAAAAUCUCAUGUUUUAUUAACUUCACUCUGUUUUCUUAUGGUCUAAUCUUAGUCAUCUUUUAGGUUUCCAUUUUGGGAUAUAUGUAAACAUGAAAGCAGUGGGAUUAGUAUAUAUCAAAAUAUUUAAGCAAUGCAUAUUUAGAGAAGUUGGCAGCACAGAAAUGAGCAACUUUUAAGAGUAAUUUUAGCCAUCUCAUGGGAAAAUUACAAUAAUAAAGUAAAACAAUGCUAAAUAAAGAUUUUCAAGGAUAAUGGCCGCUCAAAUCACAAUUCAUUUUUAUGACCUGAAUUUACAAGUUUUUUUUAAAACAAAAAACCCUACAUUUUUAAUUUUAUUGCAGAAAUAUCCUUUAGAAUUUAUGAUUCUAAUGGAAAAUAUCAGGAUUUUUCACUUUCUCUUUACUCAGUCAAUAGUCAGGGGCUGUACCGUGAUUACCUGACAUACAUUCAAACAAAUGUGAGCUCCCACAUUGAUCUAUCACUCUCUGGGGAGAAGAGCUCUCAGAAGCUCUGUUUCUGAAUAACAAGGUGAGAGUGAGUCGGUACAAACCUCAUUUGAAAGAAAAUGUCAGAUUUGGAAUAGAGAAACAACAGAAAUAUCACAGCCUUCCUUAGAAGAUACACAGGGCUGCAUUUCCUAAAGUAUGUCCUCUAGACACACUCUAUUAGAAAAUCUGAUGAGCAUGUAUAGCCAAAGUGUUUACUGCUGCUGACUGCCCAAAUCCAUUCUUAGAGGAAAAGCAUUGAAAUGCAGAUAACCUUAAGUUGUAUCCAAAAUAUAUUUAUAAUUUGAAACUCAAAGUUGAGCAAUGACUUCUUUGUUGUACCUAGACAAUACCCUGUCUGCCUUCUGUAGAAAUGCAUGACAUUUAUUCAAUUGGUGGGAACCCCCAGGGUAAAAAAGAGCUCAGAAAAUAAAACACUGAUCAAUUAUUUUUCAUUUCCCAAAAUAUUUUCCUUUUUAUACCCCAAAACAUCUUACCUGGACCAAUAUUUUAGCUUAUGAACUACCUACCUCCAGCUUCUCCUUAGUCCAAAUCAUCAUCAGGCCAUUAAUAGUCAGAUUUGGAUUUUCAAAACCCACCUCUGAUCAUGACUCUUGUUCUAAAAACUUUUGGAGGUUUUCCAAUGCUUACACACGCACACACACACACACACACACACACACAGAGCCUUCACAAGGCACAUGAUAACAUCGCAGCAAUGUUUUUAUCCUUAGUUCCCAUUAAUCCUUCAUAUAUAAACUCACACUACAGUCAGACAAAACCACCUAUUUUCUUUCUAACACUACCUGGGUUUUUCUUGUCUCUUCACACUGCUUUAUUCUUCUGAAAUGUUCUUACUCUUCUAUCUCUGGCUGGUUGAAAUUUUACAUAUCCUUCAAGUUCUAUCUCAAAGAUUAAACACUCAGUUUUCUGCCUGAAUAUCAUUUCUCAGUAUCCCAAAUUUCCUUUAAAAUACUCAGGAAAACUCAAAAGCAUUUGGUAAUCCUCCACAGUGGCUCUCAGUAGUAGAAGCCAAACUAACUAGAAUACGGGAAGGAUUUUCAUCAGUUACAAGACAUACAACUCUAAGUGUCAUUCCAAUUUGGCAAGAAAUGCUGGCUUGCUUGCUGUCAUUUGAGGAACACCACAUUGCAGAGCCUACAGAAUGGAAGCAUUUGUCUCCACCCUCUUGAAAAUCCUCCUUGUUAAGACCUAGAUUCUUCAAAUUUGUGGGGUUUUUUACAUUGCAUUUUAUUAUUUUUUAAUAACAAAAUCUAUUAAUCUUUUAAUGG
rnacentral:lncRNA from 1 species